rnacentral:rRNA from 1 species
UACAGAGGUCUCAAGCGUUGUUCGGAUUCAUUGGGCGUAAAGGGCGCGUAGGCGGUUCGGCAAGUCUCUAGUGAAAUCUCUGGGCUCAACUCAGAGUCUGCUGGGGAAACUGCCGGGCUUGAGUGUGGGAGAGGAGAGUGGAAUUCCCGGUGUGAGCGGUGGAAAUGACGUAGAUAUCGGGAGGAACACCUGUGGCGAAAGCGGCUCUCUGGACCACAACU